UAGUACCUGAAACCGUUUGCUUACAAACCGUUGGAGCUCCCUUGUUGGAGUGACAGCGUGCCUUUUGAAGAAUGAGCCUGCGAGUUAGCGAUAUGUGGCGAGGUUAACCCGUGAGGGGUAGCCGUAGCGAAAGCGAGUCUGAAUAGGGCGAUUCAGUCGCAUGUCCUAGACCCGAAGCGAAGUGAUCUAUCCAUGGCCAGGUUGAAGCGACGGUAAGACGUCGUGGAGGACCGAACCCACUUGGGUUGAAAACCGAGGGGAUGAGCUGUGGAUAGGGGUGAAAGGCCAAUCAAACNNNNNNNNNNGUGAUAGCUGGUUCUCUCCGAAAUGCAUUUAGGUGCAGCGUCUUGUGUUUCUUCAUGGAGGUAGAGCUACUGGAUGGCCGAUGGGCCCAACAAGGUUACUGACGUCAGCCAAACUCCGAAUGCCGGUAAGUGAGAGCGCAGCAGUGAGACGGUGGGGGAUAAGCUUCAUCGUCGAAAGGGAAACAGCCCAGACUACCGACUAAGGUCCCAAAGCGUGUGCUAAGUGGAAAAGGAUGUGGAGUUGCACAGACAACCAGGAGGUUGGCUUAGAAGCAGCCACCCUUGAAAGAGUGCGUAAUAGCUCACUGGUCAAGUGAUUCCGCGCCGACAAUUUAACGGGGCUCAAGCACAUCACCGAAGUCGUAGCAUUUGCACAAUAAGUAGGCCUUCGUGGUCCAGCCGUGUGGAUGGGUAGGAGAGCGUCGUGUGGCGAGCGAAGCGGCGGGGUGACCCAGCCGUGGACGCCACACGAGUGAGAAUGCAGGCAUGAGUAGCGAAAGACGGGUGAGAAACCCGUCCUCCGGAAGACCAAGGGUUCCAGGGCCAGGCUAAUCCGCCCUGGGUAAGUCGGGACCUAAGGCGAGGCCGAAAGGCGUAGUCGAUGGACAGCAGGUCAAUAUUCCUGCACCACGAUCGUGGAGCGAUGGGGCGACGCAUUAGGAUAGGCCAACCGGAGCCACGGCAGAGCC
rnacentral:rRNA from 1 species